rnacentral:precursor_RNA from 8 species
UUGGCCAUUUUCCAUAAUAUUGGGUUGGCCAGAAAGUUCAUUCAGGUUUUUCUUUAACAGCUUGCUGAAAAACCGGAAUGAACUUUUUGGUCAACCCAAUAUAUCCUUCUCAUUUAACUC